UCAGUAGGUGAACCUGCGG
rnacentral:rRNA from 1 species